rnacentral:lncRNA from 1 species
UAGGUAAUUGAUUUUGGACCCGAACUUCUUCAGCUUGAGUUAAUUCUCCAAUCCUGCUCAUGGUUCCUUGUUUGCGUUCUUUGCGGAGGGAUUGAGGCAGAUGCAAUUCUGGUGGCUUUUCCUUGAUUGUCAAUAUGUUCAAUGCACCUUCAACUCCUUUCAAGUUUUCAUGGCUUAGUAGUUGAACCUUUAAUGAGUCUUUCCUUGAUAUCACUUCUCUUAAGUACUUAUACUUCUCCACAGCUCCUGUUCCUUUUUGAGCACUCAUGGGAUAGAACAAAUGCAUCAUACUUGAAAUAGAGAAUUUAAGAACAUGAU